AGCGGCGGACGGGUGAGUAACACGGUGGGCCAACCUCGCCUGGAGUGGGGAUAACAUUUGGAAACAGAUGCUAAUACCGCAUAAUAAUCAAAACCACAUGGUUUGAUUUCAAAGAUGGCUUCGGCUAUCACUCCAGGAUGGGCCCGCGGUGCAUUAGCUAGUUGGUAAGGUGACGGCUUACCAAGGCGAUGAUGCAUAGCCGAGUUGAGAGACUGAUCGGCCACAAUGGAACUGAGACACGGUCCAUACUCC
rnacentral:rRNA from 1 species